rnacentral:rRNA from 1 species
UACGAAGGGGGCUAGCGUUGCUCGGAAUUACUGGGCGUAAAGCGCACGUAGGCGGUCUUUUAAGUCGAGGGUGAAAUCCUGGAGCUCAACUCCAGAACUGCCUUCGAUACUGGAAGACUUGAGUCCGGGAGAGGUGAGUGGAACUGCGAGUGUAGAGGUGAAAUUCGUAGAUAUUCGCAAGAACACCAGUGGCGAAGGCGGCUCACUGGCCCGGUACUGACGCUGAGGUGCGAAAGCGUGGGGAGCAAACCGG